UUCUUUCCUGGGGGAAAGGGCUGCUCUUCCCUUUUUUCAGCCCUGGGCUGAAAUUGCCAAUCCCACCUCCCCGAAAUAGAAUACAAAUGAAGAUUCCUUCAAGACAAAAGGUGCCACCACAGAAAGCUCUUGCUGCCCAAGAAGUGCCCAGGCUGCCCCACCGGCUGCACCUGAAGGCAAAGGAUCCAGACCUCCUUUCCUUAGGGAAACGGCGGCUAAUUCCCUUUUUUUAGCCCUGAGCUGCAAUGGCCAAUUCCACCUCAUGAAAUUUGAAUCCAAAUGAAGAUUCCUACCAGACAAAAGGUACCACCACAGAAAGCUCUUGCUGCCCAAGAAGUGCCCAGGCUGCCCCAAAACCUAUAUCUAAAAGCCACAAGAUCCAGACUUGUUUUCCUGGUGGAAAGAGCUGCUGUUCCCUUUUAUCAGCCCUCCACUGCAAUGGCCGAUCCCACCUCCCCAAAAAUGAAUCCAAAUGAAGAUUCCUGCCAGAC